GACGAACGCUGGCGGCGUGCUUAACACAUGCAAGUCGAACGGAAAGGCCCUGCUUGCAGGGUACUCGAGUGGCGAACGGGUGAGUAACACGUGGGUGAUCUGCCCUGCACUUCGGGAUAAGCCUGGGAAACUGGGUCUAAUACCGGAUAGGAGCCUUUUUUAGUGUGAUGGUUGGAAAGUUUUUUCGGUGUAGGAUGAGCUCGCGGCCUAUCAGCUUGUUGGUGGGGUAAUGGCCUACCAAGGCGGCGACGGGUAGCCGGCCUGAGAGGGUGGACGGCCACAUUGGGACUGAGAUACGGCCCAGACUCCUACGGGAGGCAGCAGUGGGGAAUAUUGCACAAUGGGCGCAAGCCUGAUGCAGCGACGCCGCGUGGGGGAUGACGGCCUUCGGGUUGUAAACUCCUUUCGCUAGGGACGAAGCUUUUUGUGACGGUACCUAGAUAAGAAGCACCGGCUAACUACGUG
rnacentral:rRNA from 1 species